GAUGAAGAACGCAGCGAAAUGCGAUAAGUAAUGUGAAUUGCAGAAUUCAGUGAAUCAUCGAAUCUUUGAACGCACAUUGCGCCCAUUAGUAUUCUAGUGGGCAUGCCUGUUCGAGCGUCAUUUCAACCCUUAAGCCUAGCUUAGUAUUGGGAAUCGACUUUACUGUCGUUCCUCAAAUUCAACGGCGGAUUUAUAGCAAUCUCUGAACGUAGUAAUUUUUUUCCUCGUUUUUGAAAUACUAUAACCCUCAGCCGCUAAACCCCCAAUUUUUCUAUGGUUGACCUCGGAUCAGGUAGGAAUACCCGCUGAACUUAAGCAUAUCAAUAAGCGGAGGA
rnacentral:misc_RNA from 1 species